rnacentral:rRNA from 1 species
AUUGAACGCUGGCGGCAGGCCUAACACAUGCAAGUCGAGCGAGCGGCGGACGGGUGAGUAAUGUAUGGGGACUGCCUGAUAGAGGGGUAUAACUACUGGAAACCGUGGCUAAUACCGCAUACUAUCCGAUAACCCACAUGGGAUUAGCGAGUGGGUGGGGUAAAGGCUCACCUAGGCGACGAUCUAUAGCUGGUCUGAGAGGAUGAUCGGCCACACUGGGACUGAGACACGGCCCAGACUCCUACGGAGGCAGCAGUGGGGAAUAUUGGGCAAUGGGCGCAAGUCUGAUGGAGCAAUGCCGCGUGUAUGAAGAAGGCCUUAGGGUUGUAAAGCACUUUCGGCGGGGAGGCGGUACCCGAAGAAGAAGCACCGGCUAACUCCGUGCCAGCCGCCGCGGUAAUUC